rnacentral:rRNA from 1 species
AUGCACGCUGGCGGCGUGCCUAAUCCCUGCCAGUCGCGCGAACAGACGAGGAGCUUGCUCCUUCGACGUUAGCGGCGGACGGGUGAGUAACACGUAGGUAACCUACCUAUAAGACUGGGAUAACUUCGGGAAACCGGAGCUAAUACCGGAUAAUAUUUCGAACCGCAUGGUUCGAUAGUGAAAGAUGGCUUUGCUAUCACUUAUAGAUGGACCUGCGCCGUAUUAGCUAGUUGGUAAGGUAACGGCUUACCAAGGCAACGAUACGUAGCCGACCUGAGAGGGUGAUCGGCCACACUGGAACUGAGACACGGUCCAGACUCCUACGGGAGGCAGCAGUAGGGAAUCUUCCGCAAUGGGCGAAAGCCUGACGGAGCAACGCCGCGUGAGUGAUGAAGGUCUUCGGAUCGUAAAACUCUGUUAUUAGGGAAGAACAAACGUGUAAGUAACUGUGCACGUCUUGACGGUACCUAAUCAGAAAGCCACGGCUAACUACGUG